CGAAUUCGGUGAUGAAUAAAUUUGGUGACGAACGAAUUCGGUGAUGAACGAAUUCGGUGAUGAACAAAUUCGGUGAUGAACGAAUUCGGUGAUGAACGAUGAACGAUGAAUGAUGAAAGAACUUAAUCUGUAGAUGAACUUUUAGCUCACAAAAGAAUUUAGUAUGCUCGGGCCUUUUAAGAAAAACUCCGUGUGAUACUGUUGAGGGAUGACAACUUAUAUUUGUAUGUUUUGUUUUCGGCACGUGUCCACUGAGUACUCCUGUACUCAGUCCUGCAUGUAUUUAUAAAUGUACAGGUUGAACGUCAAGAUGGAGAAGAAUUGAUCGGAGUCGAUGCUACUAAAUAAGCAUGUGGAUUUCUCGACAAUUCGUGUCUUCAUACACGAAGUCGUUUAAUAGGGACCUCUUUUCCGCUGCAUAUAUUUUUUGUUAGGUUAAUUGGAUCGGGGUUUCCUUUGAAUAUUUCUUUCGUUUCUUCGCCAACACUGCAUCCUCGGUGAGUCACUGGUCACUGCUUGCGGUGUUUGUGUCCAUUUCUGUUAGAUGUGGCAUGUAUAGUAUUUGAAUAUUUGUAAUAGCUUCCGUUGCGUUUGUAAAUAGUGUUGGAACUUUUGCUAAUAGUUUAAUGAAUUAAGUUUGGUUUUUAA